AUUGAACGCUGGCGGCAGGCCUAACACAUGCAAGUCGAGCGGAUGAAGGGAGCUUGCUCCUGGAUUCAGCGGCGGACGGGUGAGUAAUGCCUAGGAAUCUGCCUGGUAGUGGGGGAUAACGUCCGGAAACGGGCGCUAAUAUCGCAUACGUCCUGAGGGAGAAAGUGGGGGAUCUUCGGACCUCACGCUAUCAGAUGAGCCUAGGUCGGAUUAGCUAGUUGGUGGGGUAAAGGCCUACCAAGGCGACGAUCCGUAACUGAUCUGAGAGGAUGAUCAGUCACACUGGAACUGAGACACGGUCCAGACUCCUACGGGAGGCAGCAGUAGGGAAUAUUGGGCAAUGGGCGAAAGCCUGAUCCAGCCAUGCCGCGUGUGUGAAGAAGGUCUUCGGAUUGUAAAGCACUUUAAGUUGGGAAGAAGGACAGUAAGUUAAUACCUUGCUGUUUUGACGUUACCAACAGAAAAAGCACCGGCUAACUUCGUG
rnacentral:rRNA from 1 species